rnacentral:lncRNA from 1 species
CCUGAGGACCCUAGGAGACUCCCGGGAGAUGAAGGAGAGUUGGUUGGCUGAGCUUCAGAAACAGUUUGAUCCUUGGGGUUUAAGACAGACAUCAGCAGAGCAGGGUCAGCCACAGGAAAGCAGGAAGGGAAAGUGCAAAAUGGGACGAGAGCAACAGGGGUGACCCCAAAACUGUGGUUCUCAACUUGUUUCCACCUGAGUGACAACAUUGGGACAGGGACCCUCUAUUAUGUGGUGGGUGUCCGAGAGUUUGAGGACCACUGAUCUGGACCAGAACAUGGUGGCCAGAGGACGCAGAGAGAAAGUUUAAAAGAAACACUGGCAUGGAACAGAAGAGACAGUGCUAGAAACUAACUUGGUUCCGUGAAUUUAGGCCUUUGUUUUUCAAGUUCACAAGACCAUUUCCUGAGGGACUAGACAAAAUCGAUAUAAAGUUGCUGUGACACUGAAGGAAAGGAAGAGAGAAAGAACCGAAAGUCCUGCUUAAAUAAACUCAAGGGAAGCCAAUGGGGUAACUUUCGUGAUGACAUACUCCUGCAAAGAUGGCGUGGGACAUAAUUCUCAUGGAUGGAGGUGAACAUGACUGUCCCUUGAUACAAGGGGUAGAAUUGAUUGGGUUGCUGUUGUCCUUUGAGAAUCACCACCCGACUCUAUGUGGCUGUUUCUUCAAUUGCAAAAUGAGAGAGCAUGUUUCCUUUUUAAUCAGCAAUAUUACCCUUAAGGAAACCUUGAAGGGCAGUUCUAUUAUUAAAUAUCUCAAGCACA